AGUGAUGUCUGGUUUAGUAGUGUACAUACAACUCUGGUGCAUUGAACAAAAGGGACCAGUUUUUGUAACUGUGUUCAACCCACUCUCAACCGUACUAGUUGCAGUUCUAGCAUAUUUCGUCCUUGGUGAAAAGCUCUACACGGGCAGCAUCAUUGGAGCAGUAAUUGUCAUUAUUGGACUGUACUUGCUUUUGUGGGGAAAAGAAGAUCCACAACCAGAAUUGAAAGAGAGAGA